CAAGUACUUCCUCCGUUCCAUAAUUCUUGUCUCAACUUUGCCCAAAAAUGGAUGUAUUUAUUCGUAAAAAAUGUCUAGAUACAUGUAAUAUUUUGACAAGAAUUAUGGAACGGAGUGAGUAUCAA
rfam:Brachypodium distachyon strain Bd21 chromosome 3, whole genome shotgun sequence.